rnacentral:hammerhead_ribozyme from 1 species
ACCCAGCUGACGAGUUCCAAAUAGAACGAAACCCAUGUCAAACUGGAU